rnacentral:rRNA from 1 species
UGGCGAACGGGUGAGUAACACGUGUGUGAUCUGCCCUGCACUCUGGGAUAAGCCUGGGAAACUGGGUCUAAUACCGGAUAGGACCAUGCUUUAGUGUGUGUGGUGGAAAGUUUUUUCGGUGUAGGAUGAGCCCGCGGCCUAUCAGCUUGUUGGUGGGGUAAUGGCCUACCAAGGCGGCGAUGGGUAGCCGGACUGAGAGGUUGGUCGGCCACAUUGGGACUGAGAUACGGCCCAG